rfam:Mycobacterium brisbanense DNA, contig: contig64, strain: JCM15654.
CUGAGGGGUACUCGAGGCGUAGGCUCGACCGUACGACGGGUUCGGGAGUGACUGAUCCGAAGAGUCGGUCGAAGGGGUGAAAG